GUCUCGGUGGUGUAGUGGCAGUAGCACGUGUUCCCGGUAUAGAUGAAACGCGGCUUCGAUUGCCGCCUGAGGCC